rnacentral:lncRNA from 1 species
UCCUAGUGGGCGGUCAACCCAAAAGGCAGGCAUUUGGUGCAGACAUUCAUGGUUUUGCUUUUUAUCAGAUAAUUCACUAAAAUACUUUCAAUGUGUCGCUCAUGCUCUAAAGAAACAGAAAGGAGUCCGGGAAGAAUGAGGAGGAGAACUGGGGUGUUCCAGUGACUCCAGCAGCUAGGAUCACGCUCUAGCUGCCGUGUGGAGACUGGACUGGAGGGAGAAGGGAGAAGACGCAAGCAGGGCAGUUAGGAGGCUGAUGCGGUGGUCCAGGUGGCCUCAGCUAGAAGAUCCUGGGAACACGGGCCGGACAUUGCCAUGGGCGACUGAAGAGGUGCCUCUUUCCUAUCCGCCUGGCAGUUAAGGCAGCGACGAAGAUCGCAGCAGGGCUGGCACGCUCUGAUUUUCUCCUGAGCGCUAAGUGGAGCUGCAAGGUGACAGAACCUCCCCGCAGUGCUCGGGUGGGACGUUCCUGUUUUAGAGCCGAGUUGCCUGAGAACCCUCUGGGAUUGGGCCCCGCCCUUCAGGGAAGAGCACCCGGCAGAGUGUUGUAUCCAGGACUGACCAGCAGGGGGCGAGCCAGACUCGGAAAUGACCAUUGCUGAGACCUGGGUGAAUCUUGCUGCUGUUUCCAACUCAAGAAGUCUGGUUUUUCCUGGACCCCUGCCCUUGAAGACAACCAGAGACCAGACUGAAAAACCCCAUGGACCGUGGACGUGUUUCAUCUCUCAUUCCUCCCUGGGGAGUAGAGAAUUGACUUAUGCCCAUUGUCCUUGUAUGAUAAAUGAUUGAAAAUAACUUUUUAGUACGGUAGAGGCUAAUUUCUUUACUUUGUAUUCUAUAAUUUGUUGAUUUUUAAGAGAAAAGGGAAAAAACUCCCUUUGGGAUGCGACAUUCACAGAAUUCGUGCUAGAAAGGUCUUAGAUUGUAU